UCCUUCAGAGCGGAGAUUGAGCUUGUGGCCAUACUGAUAUCUUGUAUUCUAGCCUUUUAUUUUUGUGACUCAUGCUGGAAGAAAGCAGGCAAAAAUAUUUUUCAUCUCACAGGGUUCAUUGCCAGGGGCAGAGUUGCUUUACUAGCUCGCUGCUGGCUGAAAUGCAGCCGGCUGUCAGCCAACGGUGCUUUCGUUCAGAUGCUGGAAGUCUUUAUUAAUAAAUACCUUCCCACCAACAUCUAACAACAUCAUUCAGAAAACAGGAUGAGCUGAAGCAGGGAUGGGGAACUUCUGGCUAGCAGACUGAUUGUAACUCAGGUGCUGAGAUUUCCCCAAGGUUACAUCCCCUGUCCCAGGACGUGCCUUUAUGUGCUUUUGCUUGUGUUCAGGUCAUGCUGAGAGGUACCUGUAAGUGAGGGGCACAUGGGGCUCAUCAGCCUGGGAAGGAAAACUCUGAACCUAAACCUCCAACUGCCUUGUGGGAUAUCUUUGGGAGAAGAAAAGACUAAGGAGUAAACCCUGCACAAAUCUGGAGUGGAGUCCUUAAGAUGGUUGGAUGGUGUGUUGUUCCUUCUGGAACUCCUGCAGCCUAGCUGGUGCCAAACAUAUGGCUCUGCUUUCCUUUGGACUACAUCAGCGAGGCCGAGAGUCGGGUCUUAUCCUCUGGGCAGCCCAGGACCUCCAUACACACUGCCCAGGUUUGUUCCCUGGGGAGGUCAUUUGGUGCUGUUAACACAGCGGUUUGACUUCACGCCUGGAAGCACGCUAUUGCCAGCAAAAACAUUUCAAUGAUUGCUGCAUUUUACAACAUACCUUUUCCCUUACAUAUUUAAAUGGAGACAUUUGAUUUUAUGACAAUUUCCCCUAUUAUCAUUAGCAUUCAUCUUUAAGCUUAGAUUAAAUGUGCGGGGAAAGGCGGGGAAGAUGACUGAUUUUACUCCUAGUUCUUGUGCCACACUGUCCUAUAACCGCACAGCUCUGUAAGGGUGCUGCAGAGAAGAAUCACUGUUCUAAAUUGCAAUUAGACUGGAUAUUUCUCAUUCUUCCUUCCGCUCUUUGCAAAAUAAUACAACACCACACAAACUUUUCUGCUGGUAUAUAUUUGGGGAGGGGGGCACACUGUACACUGAGAGCCAGUGUGGUGUAGUGGUUAAGAGCGGUAGAUUCGUAAUCUGGGGAACCGGGUUCGUGUCUCCGCUCCUCCACAUGCAGCUGCUGGGUGAUCUUGGGUUAGUCACACCUCUCUGAAGUCUCUCAGCCCCACUCACCUCACAGAGUGUUUGUUGUGGGGGAGGAAGGGAAAGGGAAAUGUUAGCCGCUUUGAGACUCCUUCGGGUAGUGAUAAAGCGGGAUAGCAAAUCCAAACUCCUCUUCCUCCUCCUCCUCCUCUUCUUCUUUUUUAGAAUAUUAAAUACAUUGGAAAGACAGACAGAAAUGAAAUUUUGAUGAACGCACACUACAGUAAUUUACAUUGCUUCAGAGAAGAGGCCAGCUGCCAAACUUUCUGCGCUUACUUUGAAAAUAGUUCUAGACAAGGACCUGUUUAAAUAAGACAAUGUAAUGACUGAUGUGCUGCGGCAUGAUUGAUAUACAUUGAAAAGACGUGUCAGAAUUCUAACAUUUAAAAAGUGCCUUAUCUUAAAAAUGUACAAAAGCAAACGGAACAAGCUGGGAAAUUAGCAGUCAAAAUAGAUCGUUGAAACCAUGUUAUAAAUAGCAAAUAUAAAAAUAAGUAGGAUUUCUCUGUCAUUUCAAAUAAUUUUGCUGUUACUUGUUAAGUGACUGUUAGAGCACUUUAGGACUGAGUUUUAAGUCAUAAAUCAUGAUGAGGCCCUGCCUGUGAUUUCAGAGGUGGCAAUAUUGUAUGGUGGCAAUAAGGAAGUUGUAUACCUGGCUGACAACACACACGUUUGCCUUCCCAGGUGUAUCAUCUGUGUUUUUUCUGCCAUCAUUACUUACAGACUUUCAGGGAUAAUUUCCCAUUAUAUACUGGAAACAACAUUCAUAUCAAUAGCCCAUUUGCUAUUGGCCCCAGUGGCUGCAGGCUAAAGCAAGACUGGAUACAGUGCAGCAGCAGCAGCAGCAGCAGCAGCACACUUACACCACUAUGUGGCAGAAUUGUGCAUAUUUAGACAAUGGCCCAGUUUGCAUGCCACCUUCAACCACAGUUAAUUUAAAGAAUGAACAGUAUGCUGGCGCAUACUGUUCAGAAGUUUGUGCUUCACUCCUUCCCCGCACCUGCCUGCUGCCUUCUGGGGCAGAAGCAAGCCAGAUAGGUUACAUGCAGGUAUGGGUUCAUGGUUUGUGUCCCACAAACAAACCACGAUCAGUAAGCCAAAACCAAACCUUAGGUUCCACUUGUGAUUUGCUUGGAGAGAAACAAACCAGUAGUCUGGUUUUACACUGUGUCCUUUCUGGUGCAGAAGCAGCAGGACUGGGGGUAGAGUGAAGCGCAGACAUGAGCAGUGUGCAGCAGUGACUGCAUUGUUUGCUUGCAUUAAACAAUCAUUUGUCUUACUUGUAGCUUAAUGUGCAAACUAGGCAGAAAGUUAAUUUCCUGGACAGAACUGAUAAUGAGGCAAGAGGGGCAUAUUAGACAAGGGGAAAGGGAAAGGGAAAGAAAGAAAAGGAAGAUUGAUGCUAGUGACAUAUAUGACCAUCUCAAAAGAAAGUUUGGAAAAUGUCUAUCGUGAUUAGGGAACUAGGAUUAGCAACAUUACAGGUGCCCAGACAAAGAAAGAGGAUGUGGGUACAAUCUGCUUUACCAGUGGGGAAGAAGUGAGAAUAAAGAUUGAGAAAGCUGAGGACAAUACACCGGCUUUCUGUUUUCCUGGAUCACUGGCAAAAAGAUUUCUGAGUACUUUAUUGGUGAAAAUAUUCAGAAUUCUGUCCUCAUGAAGGAUCUAACAGACAGAUCUCUUGCAUUCUCUUGGCUACACACCUUGUGUGUAUCACACCUUGUCAGGAGGGUUAAAUAUUGUGUUAUGGUAUAAUGUGCUUCUUGGCAGCUCACAUUGAGCAGGGGACAUAUUACUGUGUUUUGUACCAGCUGUGCCCUCUGAAUACUGGCAGGCCAACAGAUAAAGUCCUAAGAUGGCAAAAACAUGAUAACAAUUACUGUCGGAAUACAAAACUUCCAGCCUUUACAGUAUAAUAGGGUAAUCCAAUGCUCAAGGAGCUGGCGCAAAGCAUGCUGGCCCAAUUGAGGCUGCUGUAUAGUCCAUCAGAAGCCCAGAGGAGGUGAAAGUACUAAGCUGAGCAGGUAUUUACAAAGCAAAUACACAAAAUACAGAAUGUUGGUGUAUCCAACCUUGCUGCCAGCUGUUGAUGUACACAGAGGAGUAUUUAUAAAUCACUCGGUUCUGCUUUGGUCAGACCUCACCCGGAAUACCGUUUCCAGUUCUGGGCACCACAUUUUAAGGGGGAUAUCGACAAGCUGGAACACGUGUAGAGGAGGGCGACCAAGGUGAUAAAGGAUCUGGAAGCCAAGCCUUAUGAGGAAUGGUUGAGGGAGCUGGGUAUGUUUAGCCUGGAAAAGAGGAGACUGAGAGGAGAUAUGAUAGCCGUCUUCAAAUAUCUAAAGGGCUGUCACAUGGAAGAUGGAGCAAGCUUGUUUCUGUUGCUCUGGAGGGUAGGGCUCGAAACGAUGGAUUCAAAUUACAAGGAGGUUCCCACUAAACAUUUCAGAUGGUAAUAUCUGUUUGACAGUGGAACAGACGACCUCCGAGGAUGGUUGAUUGGAGGUUUUUAAACAGAGGUUGAAUGGCCAUCUUUAGCUGAGAUUCUGGCCUUGCGGUGUGUGUGUGUGUGUUUGUGUGAACCUCGGGGUCUCUUCCAACUCUACAAUUCUAAUAUUCCAGAAGGAGAGGGGUCGCUUGCCGUGGCACGCUGAGCCCCCCAAACUGCCAGUCUGGUGGCAAAUUCUGCAUAAAUUGCACAAACUGCAGCAGGUCCAGGAAGCACCAGGGAGCCUGCAAGGAGAGAAGGGUGGGGUGGUAGAGCAUCAGUAUGCUGCCCACAUGGAGCCAGAGAGUUUGACCCUUCCUAACAAUGACCCCGGAUGAGGCCAAUGAGGAGCUAGUGGGCAGAACACACCCACUUGGCAUGUUCCAUGAGAACUCCAGAGGAGGAAGAGCAGGGUGGAAUGGGCAGGCAGCUCCUGUGGUUGAAGCUUUGCAUUUAAGUCAAGCACCACAGGGUUUUGAGCCCCUAGUGCUUAAUGGCAGUUAAAUCUAGAGAAAUAAAUGUGUCUAAGAACCCUCAUUGUGAGUAAACAAAUGUGCCAAACUGCAUUUUAACUGGUAUCUAAUCUGCAAGCAAAUCAGUCUUAAAUAUCCAUCGUUGUAAAACAACCCUUUCACCACAUUGCUUAGCAUUUUUAGAAUAUCCAUUGGACCAGGAUCUUCAGUGUCAUUACAAACCUGUGCACAUCAACCAGUUUGUGCUCAAACGGAUGACUAAGAACAAAUAAUAGAAAGAAGGUUCUAAUAAUUAUAUAGAAUCUUUUUUAGUACAUGUUCUUUUAAAAUCAGACUUUUAGAAUUCCCUGAAUAGAAUGGAAUGCAAAUGAGAUAAGGGUUCCCAUAGGGUUGUUGAGUUCAUUAUUUGACCCUCCCCACAAGCCAAAUGCCAUUUUCAUGAUUCACUGCUGAGGAAAACCCAAGUUGAAAAACAACUGGCAUGCAAACCGUAAACUUCUUCACCACAUAUUUUAUUUCCUCUUUUUAGAGGGAAGCAAGCAGACCAAAGUUCCUGUUUGUGUUUUUUUUUAAAUGUCACCCUUCUGAAGUUAUGGUGAAUUCAAGGUGGUGUUGUAGUAGUGGCAAAAGAUAAAGUACGCAUUUCCACCAUCACUACCAGGUACUUAGUUGUGGGAAGAAGGGGAAUAUAUGUAAAUGGUGUCAGAGAGAUGCAUAUCUUUGGUGUUGUAGCUAUGCUCUGUGGAAAAUUACACAGUAGAGCAACUUUAAUGUUUUUCCUUGUUGCAGUCAGAAUUAUUCAGAAACUAUACUAGUUACAGGCAAGCUACCAAUCUCCCUCCCUUACCCUGAGUAAAUGAAAAAGUAAAAAGAACCAUUGGUUUCCUCUUUUCCAAAUUUCUGAUCGCAAAACUACUCAGUAAACAGUGCCCUCAAAGUGCAAAACAAAAAACCAGUGCAAAACAAAACAAAAAACUUUACACCAAGCAGUUAGCUGCUGACAGUGAUGCUCUACUUCUCAGAAAAACUUGUGUUUUUUUAAAAAAUAAAUAACAAGUGAUUUACAACAGCAGAAGCAAAUAUAUUUAUUGCUAGGUUAAUGUUUAUUGUUUGUAAUAACAUCUAAACUAAAACAUGAAAGAGACAGGCUACAGUACACGAGAAAUCCCUAGCUGUAGUUAUGCAUUGAUAAUGGUUAGAUAACUUGCCCUUUUUGGUUGCAAGCAGUAUGGGAGAUAGACAGGUACAGUUGUACCUCGGGUUACAAACUCUGCUAACCCGGAAGUAGUACCUCAGAUUGAGAACUUUGCCCCAGGAUGAGAACGGAAAUUGCGCCGCAGUGGUGUGGACGCAGCAGGAGGCCCCAUUAGCGAAAGCGCGCCUCAGGUUAAGAACUGUCUCGGGUUCAGAACGGACCUCCGGAAAGAAUUAAGUUCGUAACCUGAGGUACCACUGUAACUAACAAAUAAACAUUAAAAUGGGUUGUAGGACCUAUAGUCCUCUGGAUGCUAUUGGACUCCAACUUCCAUCAUCCCCAGCUAGCAUGGCUUAUAGUCUGGGGUGAUUGGAGUUGUAUUCCAACAACAUUCAGUGAGCCAUCGGUUUUCCAUCCCCUUAUUAACGUGAUAUUUUUCUCUUGAAAGCAAAGUGUUGAAGAGAACAAAGAGUUAAAUGUGUGGGUACAACUGAAACCAAGUGAUGCUAAAAAUAAAAGUGGAAUUUCCCACAAACACUGAAUGACAACUAAACGAGGAGGUAUGUGGCAACUUAAAAACUGACAAAUAUACUGUGGCAUGGACAUUUAUGAACUGAAGUGCAGUUCACACACACACACACACACACACACACACACACACAACUAUUUCAAACCCUCUAACAUUUCUCCAGUGAAAAUAGGGACGUCCUAGUUCAUCAUCAUCAUCAUCAUUUUAUUAUUUAUACUCCACCCAUCUGACUGGGUUGCCCCAGCUACUCUGGGCGGCUUCGAACAUAUAUAAAAACAUUAAACAUUUAAAAAGUUCCCCAUACAGGGCUGCCUUCAGAUGUCUUCUAAAGAUUGUAUAGUUACUUAUCUCUUUGGUUCGGCGGUCACAUAAUUCCAUACCUUCCAACAUUUCUCUGAUGAAAAUAGGACCAUCAUAAGGAAAGCAGGACAUUCUGGAAUCAAAUCAGAAACCAGGACGGCUUCUGUAAAUCCAGGCCUGUCCCUGGAAAAUAUGAGACACUUGGAGGGUCUGCUAUUUUCAUGCCUAACUGAACCACUGUGGUCAACCUCCUCAGUUGCAAUCCUCUGUAAAUGUUCCCCAGUGCCAUAAUUCAACUUGAAAAUGGCUUCCUAUUGACUCCAGGAGGGGCUUUUUCAGUCUAAAACCUUCAUGGAGGGAAUGGGGGUGGGCCUGUUGUACGCUGGUUGAGGAGGCUCCAUAGGCCACUUCCAGCCUACAGACUGCUGGUUCUUCAUCCCACUAUGUAAGCUAGGGUUAUUUGCUACAACCUUUGGCGAAAGUACUGUCUUACUAUACUAAUUAAUCUCUACAUAGUUAGAUGGACAACCUCUGCACUGUGGGAGGAAGUGGAGACUGAGGGACACAGGCAAAGUCAGCAUCAACGCAUUCUCCAUUUGGACUUCUCCCUCCCUCGCCUGUUCAAUCAUAUUUUUUUCAGUCCUUUUAAACUGUAAACCACCUUGGGCGCCUUGGCAUAAAGACAGUAUACAAAUGC
rnacentral:lncRNA from 1 species